UCUCUCUCACAACCCUCUCUAAACCCUAAUCUCUCUCAACCGAUCGAAUCAACCUUCUUCAGCCCCGUUUGAUCCAAUCUCAGAGCGAUUGGUGAUUUAUCUCAGAUCCAAUCUCAGAGCGGUUGGGGAUUCAUCUCAGAUCCAAUCUCUGAGCGAUUGACGAUUUCGAUUUUGAUUUCGAAGUUCUCUCUCUCUCUCUCGAUUUCGAAGCGCCACCGCCGCCACCAUCUGCACCGGCGAGGGGAGCGAACACCAUCGUCUACUAAGGUGAGCAUCACCUGAUUCCCGCAUUAGGGCUAUGGCGAUGCAUUGAUUGAAGCCUCGAUCAUCAUCGCUUUUACAUUUAUUGAGAAGGAUCAAGAAUUGGGGGAAGCCUUAGAGAGAAGGCAGUUGAAGAGUUUCUGUUCUAUAUCAGUGUUAGGAGAGUGAGCGUGACAAGCAUGUAUGAAGAGCAUUCAGUGGCUUGUUGAUGAAUAAAAGGCAUUUCUUACAAAGAAAACAGGGCAUGCAUUUUCCCAUUUGGGGGGUAUUUUGCUGGUUUAGAUAAAUAGAAAAAUAAGUAUUGUAGUGUGGUGCAAAAUGUGCAAGAUAAAUAUAAUUUAGAUGAUGCUAGUGACGUAUGGGUGAUGACGAAAUAUGCUGUGCUAUUAGAUUUUGUUUUUGUAAUGCUUCAAACACUACAUAUGGCUGAGGUUGUUAGAAUUGUAUUGCAUUUUUUGGCUCUCUUUAUUCUG